rnacentral:tRNA from 1 species
CAAGGGUGCUGAAGUGGGUUGCCAUUUCUUUUUACAGGGGAUCUUCCCAACCCAGGGAUCAAACCCGGGUCUCCUGCAUUGCUGGCAGAAGCUUUACCAUCUGAGCCACCAGGGAAGCCAUUCAUGCAUUAAGGCCAAGGUGGAGGCCUGUGACUUCAUGCUUCACACUCACGCUCAGGAGCCAC